rnacentral:rRNA from 1 species
GACGAACGCUGGCGGCGUGCUUAACACAUGCAAGUCGAACGAUGAAGCCUUCGGGUGGAUUAGUGGCGAACGGGUGAGUAACACGUGGGUGAUCUGCCCUGCACUUUGGGAUAAGCCUGGGAAACUGGGUCUAAUACCGAAUAUGAUCAUGCUCUUCAUGGGGUGUGGUGGAAAGCUUUUGCGGUGUGGGAUGGGCCCGCGGCCUAUCAGCUUGUUGGUGGGGUAAUGGCCUACCAAGGCGACGCCGGGUAGCCGGCCUGAGAGGGUGGCCGGCCACACGGGGACUGAGAUACGGCCCAGACCCCUAGGGGGGGGAGCAGUGGGGAAUAUUGCACAAGGGGCGAAAGCCUGAUGCAGCGCCGCCGGGGGAGGGAGGACGCCCUGCGGGUUGAAACCCUCUUACAGCGGGGACGAAGCAAAAGGGACGUUCCCUGCAGAAGAAGGACCGGCCAACUACGUGCCAGCCGCCGCAGUAA